GGUCUCAGUUCAGAUUGCAGGCUGCAACCCGCCUGCAUGAAGUCGGAAAUGCUAGUAAUCGCGGAUCAGCAUGCCGCGGUGAAUACGUUCCCGGGCCUUGUACACACCGCCCGUCACACCAUGGGAGCCGGUAAUACCCGAAGUCAGUAGUCCAACCUCGUGAGGACGCUGCCGAAGGUAGGAUUGGCGACUGGGGUGAAGUCGUAACAAGGUAGC
rnacentral:rRNA from 1 species